ACAAACCUGCACAUUCUGCACAUGUAUGGCAGAACUUAAAGUAUAAUAAUAAUAAUAAUAAUAAUAAUAAUAAUAAAUAAUAGAAUUACCUCUCUAUCUCAACAGGGAAUGAAACUCAUAUUUGAAAGAUACAGGACAUGUUCUGAGAAUAAUAAACUUCACAGCCCAUCAAUAAUCUUUAUUAGAAAGGCUGAGGUAAAAAUAAUUACUAAGUUUGCACAUAAAUCCUCCAUGAAUACAAAGAAACUACAUGAUAAGGAUUUAUUACCUCUAUUCUAUAGGCACAUGUAGUUUUGCUUAGAUAGUAUAGAAGUCAAAGAGGAAAGCCUGCUGAUUAUAACUAUAAAAAGCAUUUAUUAAAACUUUCUGUAGACAGACACUUAUGAUAUGGUUCAGCUGUGCCCCCACCCAAAACUCACCUUGAAUUGUAAUAAUCCCCACAUGUCAAGGGUGGGUCCAGGUGGAGAUAAUUAAAUCGUGGGGGCAGUUUCCCUCAUACUGUUCUCGUGAUGGUGAAAAAGUCUCAUGCGAUCUGAUGGUUUUAUAAAUGGGAGUUCCACUGCACAAGCUCUCUUGCCUGCUGCCUUGUAAGAUGUGACUUUGCUCAUCAUUUGCCUUCUGCCAUGAUUGUGAGGCCUCCCCAGCCAUGUGGAACUGUGAGUCAAACCGCUUUUCUUUAUAAAUUACCCAGUCUCAGGUAUGUCUUUAUUAGCAGUGUGAGAACAAACUAAUACAACUUAAAACAACAGUAAACAUGUAUAAAUGACAUAAAUUAGUAAACAUUAAGGGUAAGCAAAAAUAAAGUGUUUUUCCUGUAGCGUUGCCAGCUGUAACAUAGGACACCCCCAUUCAAUGUAAAUUUCAGACAAAAAUAAACUUUUUAGUGUAAAUAUUUCUCACGUAUUUCAUGGGACAUACUUAUACUAAAAAGACUUGUUAUUUAUCUGAAAUUCCAAUUUAAGUAGAUGCACUGUAUUUUUAUAUGCUGUAUCUGGCAACUCAGGUAUCAUAUCAUAGUGAUUUAAUUUCAUAUAGAAACACAAGGAAGAUUAUCAGAAGUUUUAUGUUUGUGGAAGUUGAGACUGGAAGGAAUUUGCUACAAAAUUUCCAAUAGGUUAGGCAAUAUUUCCCUUAAAUGAAUCCAAUUCAAUUUGAGCAACAUUUAUAAAGUAUCUCCUACCCACAGAUAAAUACCUGAGUGCUAGAUAUACAGAGAUGAAUAAGCUGUUUCCUCAGGAUUCCUGGAGCUGAAGUGAAGAUGGUUUCAGGCUGAUGGAGCAGGUGGUCCAGAAAUUGUAUGACAAGGAGGAAGCAGGAAUGUGAUCAUCAAGCAAAUGGAGAGUUGAACAAAUAUGACAGUGAGGGAAGAGUUGGGUGGAUAAAAUGAUGUAACAUGUGAUGAGCAGGGAGACAUAUUGCUUUAUGAAUGCAUAGCAGCAGAUAUUAGUAAUGUUCUCCUGAAGAACUCUGAGUUGUUUUACCCAUGGUUUUCAGGCCUGCAUCUGGAAAAUAACCCCCUACAUAUUUGUUAUAUAGCAUUAAGUUUGAUACUGUACCCUAACUUGAGAGUUUACUUAGACUAUUGUCAUAGUCUAAAAACCCUUUGCCUAAAUUAUCAAUUUUGGAGUUUCAAUAUGUUUGCAAUCUGACCCCAGUAAUAAUGGACAAUAUUUAUAGAAGUACUGUUCUGAACCCUAUACGUGAAUUAAAAUAUUUAUUUUUCACAAUUCUAUGAGGUGAGUUCAGCUAUUAUCUCCAUUUUAAAGUGGAGGCUAGUCAGGUGUGAUAAAACCAAGUGCCUGUCAGACUACAUAGAUAGAAUAAAUGAGGGGCAACAGCUUGUCGUUUCUGCUUUAAAUGUAUUUUAUUUUAUUGUAUUUUAUAAGCUAAAAAGAAUAAUUUUAAAAAUCAAAACAAAAAAGUCAUUGAGUAAAACUUAUUACAUAAUACCAGACCCAAAUAAGCAUACGUCUAGACCAAGGGACUAAAUUGUAGCAGUAUACGACUAAUAUGUUAAAUGUAAAAAAUGAGUAGCUGUUACUCAAAGAAAACAAUUGUUCCUUUCCUAUGAAGUAGUGUUUCUCAAUCUUUUUGAUCAGUUUACCUUAAGAAAUUAAUUUUAUGUCACAUUUAGUAUUCUUACAAAUGUAUGUGUGUUUAUAGAUAUAAAUAUUUGCAUGAAAUAAUACAAGCCUUUACUACCUAUGGUGCACUCUGAUACUUUUUAUUCUAUUCUAUUUCAUGUUGUUUACAACAUGCUAAGUUGAUUUCACAGCCCACUAAUGGGUCAUGUCCAAGUUAAAAAUCUUUGCUAUAGAAAACAAUUUUUUUGCUGUAGAAAACAACUUUUUCUCCGUAAGAGAAAAUGAUCAUUGGCUCAAGAUCAUAAUUGCAUUAUAACCCUUAGCAUUCUGAGUGA
rnacentral:lncRNA from 1 species